CAGAGGGUGCGAGCGUUGUCCGGAAUCACUGGGCGUAAAGGGUGCGUAGGUGGCUUGGUAAGCGUGUGGUGAAAGUCCGGGGCUCAACCCCGGAUCUGCCGUGCGAACUGCUGAGCUCGAGCAAUGUAGAGGCAGGUGGAAUUUCGGGUGUAGCGGUGGAAUGCGUAGAGAUCCGAAAGAACACCAGUGGCGAAGGCGGCCUGCUGGGCAUUAGCUGACACUGAGGCACGACAGCGUGGGAGCAAACAGGAUU
rnacentral:rRNA from 1 species